rnacentral:tRNA from 1 species
GCCGGUGUGGCGGAAUUGGCAUACGCAACGCACUUAAGAUGCGUCGCCCGUAAGGGAUUGUGGGUCCGACUCCCACCACCGGCACCA